GCCCGGGUGGCGGAAUUUGGUAGACGCGACGGACUCAAAAUCCGUUGUCCGUUGAGGACGUGUGGGUUCGAGUCCCACCCUGGGUA
rnacentral:tRNA from 1 species